ensembl:lncRNA
CAGUUAAACUAGCUGCGUUAGUUACCCAGAUGAGAGCAUGAAGAUCCAUCUGUGUCAAGUGGCUUUAGUGUUGCUUGGUUGUUUCUUUAUUUUGGGCUUGUUUUGUUUAGUUGUUUUUGCUAGAAUAAUGGCAUCUACUUUUCCUGUUCUUCCCUAACCAUUUUAAAGAGUGAAAAUGGGAAGAGCUUUAAAGACGUUCACUGACUAUUACUUUCCUUCACUCAUCUACUUAAGUAACUGUUGGAUCUUACUAAGAAAACUGAUGCCUCAUAAUAAAAAAGAACUUAGAGGCCGAUAGGUUUUAAAAAUAUACAAACUAUUUGAUCCAGUGAUUUUAAUCAAACAGUUUGACUGGGCAAACUUUGCAGCUGAUAAUGACGAUUUCGCUUUUUACAAAUUGCCACUGAUUUGGAUUUAAUUUCUUUAAUUAACUCUAACCUUUAAUUUAUUGAUGCUCUAUUGUGCAGUAGAUUUCAUUUAAGAAAAGGCUCAUAUAGUACUAUCCAAAACUAGUUGGUGAUGUGAUUAUGUGGUACCUUGGCUUUAGGUUUUAAUUGGAAUGAGACACCCUUUGGCAUGCUUAACUUUCUGGUAUUUCCCUCUCCUGCACUGGUUUUUGUUUUUUGGGUUUUUGCUGUUGUUUGCUUUUUGUUUGUUUUUAGAUCCACAGAACAUGAGAAUCCUUGUGAGGAGCCUUGGAAAGCUGGCUCUUCUUUCCUCUCUCUGUGAAGGAUGUGUUUAAAUGAACGCUGGAUUCUGUCCCCUCCUGUGGACUUAGAACUGACAACUAGAGAUGGAUCUUUGCAUGUUCCAGGGAGCCUGGGCUAAUAAAUGAAUUCAAAGUCACCAAGAUGUCCUGGAUGUUCUGGACCCCAUCAGAACUCAGCCCAUGCUCAGUCACGCGGAGGUCAACACCUUCCUGUCCAUCAGGUCAUGAGACCUGAGACAGUUGAGUUGCUCCAGGUCCUUCUGAGAUGAAGAUCUUUCUUUAAAAAGGAAAAAGAAAAAGUUUAUUGAGGAAGUUUCUCAACCUGUGGGUCACGACCCCUUCUUGGUGAGUGCAUAUCAGACACAUUGCAUAUCAAAUACCUAGCAUGUUAUGACUUAUAAGAGUAGCAAUAUUAGUUAUAAAGUAGCAGUGAAAUAAUUUAAUGGGGAGAGUCACCACAGCAUGAAGAGCUGUGUUAAAGGGUUGCAGCACUAGGAGUGUUGAGACCACUGCCAUAGAAGCUGACACAUGGGAGCAGACUCCUCAGAUGAGUAGAGACCCAUGGCAAGGGAUACUGUGUCCCACCCUAGAACCCAGAG